AUUGAACGCUGGCGGCAUGCCUUACACAUGCAAGUCGAACGGCAGCACGGGAGCAAUCCUGGUGGCGAGUGGCGAACGGGUGAGUAAAGUAUCGGAACGUGCCCAGCCGUGGGGGAUAACGUAGCGAAAGCUACGCUAAUACCGCAUACGAUCUCUGGAUGAAAGCGGGGGACCGCAAGGCCUCGCGCGAUUGGAGCGGCCGAUGGCAGAUUAGGUAGUUGGUGGGGUAAAGGCUCACCAAGCCGACGAUCUGUAGCUGGUCUGAGAGGACGACCAGCCACACUGGGACUGAGACACGGCCCAGACUCCUACGGGAGGCAGCAGUGGGGAAUUUUGGACAAUGGGCGCAAGCCUGAUCCAGCCAUUCCGCGUGCAGGAUGAAGGCCCUCGGGUUGUAAACUGCUUUUGUACGGAACGAAACGGUGCUCUCUAAUACAGGGCGCUAAUGACGGUACCGUAAGAAUAAGCACCGGCUAACUACGUGCCAGCCGCCGCCGUAA
rnacentral:rRNA from 1 species